CUCCACCAGAUCACCAACCAGUUCUGAGGAUGCACCUCCACAUCGUCUUCAUGGUGUAAGGCAUUUUUUUUUUUUUUACUGAGCAGCUGGCUACAUUUUUAACAGCAGAAACUGGUGUGUUGCCACUGCCAGCACUAAGUGCUUAAUAAACAUGAUUUGAUUUAAAAAAUAAUUGGACAGAAUUUAUUCCCCUUGUUAAUCUACCAUUUCUCUUUCAUACAUUUUAUUCAUUGUUAGCUUUCAGGGCCCUGUGAUGGACUGGUGACCUGUCCAAGGUGAACCCUGCCUCUCAUUUUUUGACUGCUGGAGAUGGGCACCACUAGCCCCCCUCACCACCCUGCAAGAAUCAACGUGUUCAAAUCAUGGAUGGAAAGCUUUUAAGGCAAAGAAGACACCUGAAAUGUUUUCCACCCCAGGCAUCCAGUCCCAAUCAUCAUCAGUUCUGAUGAUGCCACAUACAUAGCGAGUCCACAACGCUAUGCUAAAAUUGUUUCUGUAAAGUGUAGUCGUGCAGUGAAUAGGAAUGUUCUGUCGUUGAUCUUCACUGUUGUUAGGAAGGAGAAAUUUCAGUUUGUCUGGAGUAAUUCUGGAAUACUUUGACAUUGUAUUAAAACAAUACUCUGUCCUUGUUGAAAUAUUUUUCACAUGUCCUCUAAAGUGUACGGAUUGUUUUAUUGUGCUAAUUUUCAUAAGCAUGUUGUCUGUAAACUUUGAAUGUGUUGACAAUUGUACAAUGCUGUUAUAGUAUAUUGGCAAUGUACUCUUGAAAAAUGUGGGUAACACUUUAUUUGACAGGAUGUGCAUAAGACUGACAUGAUACUGUCAUAAACAUGACAUAACACCUGUUAGGAACAUACUAACAGGUGUCAUGAAAUGUCAUUCAGUAAAUAAUGGGAGAACUUCCACUGUUGUGAGGCGGCAGCUUGGCAACAGAAGAAACGGAAGAUAAGUGGCGACACUGUUAUAAAAUGUAUUUAGUUAUUAGCGGCUCCCUUGACAGAAGCACAAGGCAUGUUUAUUUUGUAACUAGAAUAUUUCUAAUAUUGAUCAACUGUAAUUGUAAUUUUUGCUUUAUUGUAAUCAAGUACGGUAUAGUUUUUGAAUCGGUUGAUGUUAUUAGUAGUGAAUGUUGUUUUCAAACGUUAUGGUUGUAAGAGAGUGUUAUACUGUCUUUUUGUGUUUGUGUUUGUGCUACAGCUCUUACGGUGAAACUCAGGAUUUACUUCCAAUAAGCCUCACUGUUCAUCAGUAAAGCCAAAA